rnacentral:rRNA from 1 species
AGGAUGAACGCUGGCGGCGUGCUUAACACAUGCAAGUCACGGGGGCCCAGCAAUGGGCAACCGGCGAACGGGUGCGUAACACGUGAGCAACCUACCGAAAUGAGGGGGAUAGCCGGCCCAACGGCCGGGUAAUACCGCAUACGCUCGAGACCAGGCAUUUGGACUCGAGGAAACCUCCGGGGCGUUUCGAGGGGCUCGCAGCCUAUCAGCUAGUUGUGAGGUAACGGCUCACCAAGGCGACGACGGGUAGCUGGUCUGAGAGGAUGGCCAGCCACAUUGGGACUGAGAUACGGCCCAGACUCCGUACGGGAGGCAGCAGGUGGGAAUCUUGCGCAAUGGCCUAACGGCGUGACGCAGCGACGCCGCGGUGAGGGAUGACGCUCGUUCGGAGUAGUUAAACCUCUUUUGCCUGACGACGUAAGUUGUCAGUUCUUUAGCUAGUA